rnacentral:rRNA from 1 species
AGAGUUUGAUCCUGGCUCAGGAUGAACGCUAGCGACAGGCCUAACACAUGCAAGUCGAGGGGCAUCGGGGCGAGGAGCAAUCCUUGCCGCCGGCGACCGGCGCACGGGUGAGUAACGCGUAUGCGACCUGCCCGUUGCAGGGGGAUAAUCGGGAGAAAUCCCGUCUAAUACCGCGUAAUGCCGCGGGGCUGCAUGGCCCUGCGGCCAAAGGGAGCGAUUCCGGCAACGGAUGGGCAUGCGUGACAUUAGCUAGUUGGCGGGGCAACGGCCCACCAAGGCGACGAUGUCUAGGGGUUCUGAGAGGAAGGUCCCCCACACUGGUACUGAGACACGGACCAGACUCCUACGGGAGGCAGCAGUGAGGAAUAUUGGUCAAUGGGCGCGAGCCUGAACCAGCCAAGUCGCGUGAGGGAUGACGGCCCUACGGGUUGUAAACCUCUUUUGUCGGGGAGCAAAUUCCGUUACGUGUAACGGAGUCGAGAGUACCCGAAGAAAAAGCAUCGGCUAACUCCGUGCCAGCAGCCGCGGUAAUACGGAGGAUGCGAGCGUUAUCCGGAUUUAUUGGGUUUAAAGGGUGCGUAGGCGGACUGUCAAGUCAGCGGUAAAAUACGGGGGCUCAACCUCCGCCCGCCGUUGAAACUGACGGUCUUGAGUGGGCGAGAAGUAUGCGGAAUGCGUGGUGUAGCGGUGAAAUGCAUAGAUAUCACGCAGAACUCCGAUUGCGAAGGCAGUAUACCGGCGCCCAACUGACGCUGAAGCACGAAAGCGUGGGUAUCGAACAGGAUUAGAUACCCUGGUAGUCCACGCAGUAAACGAUGAAUACUAGCUGUCCGGGGCGAAUGAGCCGUGGGUGGCACAGCGAAAGCGUUAAGUAUUCCACUUGGGGAGUACGCCGGCAACGGUGAAACUCAAAGGAAUUGACGGGGGCCCGCACAAGCGGAGGAACAUGUGGUUUAAUUCGAUGAUACGCGAGGAACCUUACCCGGGCUCAAACGACACAGGAACGUACCUGAAAGGGUUCGGCUCUACGGAGCCUGUGUCGAGGUGCUGCAUGGUUGUCGUCAGCUCGUGCCGUGAGGUGUCGGCUUAAGUGCCAUAACGAGCGCAACCCCCAUCGACAGUUGCUAACAGGUCAGGCUGAGGACUCUGUCGAGACUGCCGGCGCAAGCUGCGAGGAAGGCGGGGAUGACGUCAAAUCAGCACGGCCCUUACGUCCGGGGCGACACACGUGUUACAAUGGCAGGUACAGCGGGAAGCCACCUGGCGACAGGGAGCGGAACCCGAAAGCCUGUCUCAGUUCGGAUUGGAGUCUGCAACCCGACUCCAUGAAGCUGGAUUCGCUAGUAAUCGCGCAUCAGCCACGGCGCGGUGAAUACGUUCCCGGGCCUUGCACACACCGCCCGUCA